GACGAACGCUGGCGGCAUGCCUAAUACAUGCAAGUCGAGCGGAGUUGACGAGAAGCUUGCUUCUCUGAUACUUAGCGGCGGACGGGUGAGUAACACGUAGGCAACCUGCCUUUCCGUUUGGGAUAACUUCAGGAAACGGAUGCUAAUACCGAAUACAUCAUCUUCUGGCAUCAGAGACUGAGGAAAGACGGCGCAAGCUGUCACUGAGAGAUGGGCCCGCAGCGCAUUAGCUAGUGGGUGGGGUAAUGGCUCACCAAGGCGACGAUGCGUAGCCGACCUGAGAGGGUGAACGGCCACACUGGGACUGAGACACGGCCCAGACUCCUACGGGAGGCAGCAGUAGGGAAUCUUCCACAAUGGGCGAAAGCCUGAUGGAGCAAUGCCGCGUGAGUGAUGAAGGUUUUCGGAUCGUAAAGCUCUGUUGCCAGGGAAGAACGUCCGGGUGAGUAACUGCACCCGGAGUGACGGUACCUGAGAAGAAGGCCCCGGCUAACUACGUGCCAGCAGCCGCCGUAA
rnacentral:rRNA from 1 species